UCUAGUGUCUCUGAAGACAUCUGACAGGGCAAGAGGAAGCAGCAGGGAUGCAAGAAGGAGAGGCAUCCAGCACUGGACACAGUCCUACCUGGAAAACUGUAGGACAGUAGAAAGGAGGCAGCAGCGAACUGGGGAGUUUAUUUAGUCCCUGAGGUUGCAGUGGGCUUCCACAGGACGAUGUAGAUUUUGGAAGCCUGGCUCUGUGAAGUGGUGUAUGUCUCCCAUAACAACACUUUUUGUUGAAAAGGUGAGAUCCUCAGAGCCAGAGAACCACAGCAGUCAGAGCUCUGAGUGCCCUUUGCUUUGAUCUUGGCCAAACUUCAGACAGCCAAAGGUACCUGGAGAUCCUUUGAAAACAUGGAUAUAAAGUCUGUCAUGGAUAAGCCAAUAUGUGUCAGCCAAACCCAUCAGCAGG